GAAGCCUAGGGGAGCCAGUAAAGAUUAAAUGUGCUUCUCAAAGGCAGCCACUUCAUGCUGCUAUGUCGAAAGGGCCAUUAUUAUUAUUAUAUUUUAAUGGUAAAAGAGAAAAGGAGAGAGGUUGAGCGAGCGAGAGAGAAGCUAGGUGUGAUGAUGACAGACUAGCUUUUCUGAGAGGAAAAGGAAAAGGGAAGGGAGAGAAAAAGGAGAGCCUCUGAGCUCAACGGAGGAUUGUGCCUGAGAAGAACCCACAGAGAUGUGACUGGAGUGAUUUGCACCCGGAUGCCUAGACUCGCCAUCUGCUCAAAGACUGCUCAGAAAGCCCUCCCAUGCAUUCCCCUGCUGCAUACCAGCCCACUCUGCCUGCAGCUGCUGUCUGCAGGACUUCAUAUCUAUGCCACACUGUGUAAAAGCUGUGCUUCAAGAAAUCACAAAAACAUUUUCCUGCACCUACUACACAGCCUGAGUGCGGCAUAAGUUGACCUUGCUUGCUAAGAAAUGGGGCAAGAAAUGCUUUUUUGUGUGUGUCAUGUCUGUUUGUUUUUCAAUUAAGAGAGGAAAGCAUUAGGCAGAUGGAAUGUACAUGUGAGGAUGAGGAGACAGAAAACAAGUAGCCCUUUCCAUCAAGAUAGAGGGUUUUCUGGGGUUGCUGGCUAUUGAAUGUCACUCCUGAUUUCUCUUUCCAAGGCACUGUACCACCAGCCUACUGAGAUUGUGUGGGAGCUUUCAUGGGGGUUGUAUUUCACU
rnacentral:lncRNA from 1 species